AGAGUUUGAUCCUGGCUCAGAUUGAACGCUGGCGGCGUGCCUAACACAUGCAAGUCGAGCGGUAACAGGUGUAGCAAUACAUGCUGACGAGCGGCGAACGGGUGAGUAAUGCUUCGGAAUCUACCCAGUAGUGGGGAAUAACCAACCGAAAGGUUGGCUAAUACCGCAUACGUCCUACGGGAGAAAGCGGGGGAUCGCAAGACCUCGCGCUAUCGGAUGAGCCGAAGCCGGAUUAGCUAGUUGGUAGGGUAACGGCCUACCAAGGCGACGAUCCGUAGCUGGUCUGAGAGGACGACCAGCCACACUGGGACUGAGACACGGCCCAGACUCCUACGGGAGGCAGCAGUGGGGAAUAUUGGACAAUGGGGGAAACCCUGAUCCAGCGACGCCGCGUGUGUGAAGAAGGCCUGCGGGUUGUAAAGCACUUUUAGUGGGGAUGAAAAGUGCAGAGCUAACACCUCUGCAUCUUGACCUAACCCACAGAAAAAGCACCGGCUAACUCUGUGCCAGCAGCCGCGGUAAUACAGAGGGUGCGAGCGUUAAUCGGAAUUACUGGGCGUAAAGCGUGCGUAGACGGUAAUGUAAGUCGGGUGUGAAAGCCCCGGGCUCAACCUGGGAAUUGCAUUCGAGACUGCAUUGCUUGGGUGCGGAAGAGGGAAGCGGAAUUUCCGGUGUAGCGGUGAAAUGCGUAGAUAUCGGAAGGAACACCAGUGGCGAAAGCGGCUUCCUGGUCCGACACCGACGUUCAGGCACGAAAGCGUGGGGAGCAAACAGGAUUAGAUACCCCUGUAGUCC
rnacentral:rRNA from 1 species